CGUAGGGGGCAAGCGUUGUCCGGAUUUAUUGGGCGUAAAGAGCUCGUAGGCGGUUUGUCGCGUCUGCUGUGAAAACCCGAGGCUCAACCUCGGGCCUGCAGUGGGUACGGGCAGACUGGAGUGCGGUAGGGGAGAAUGGAAUUCCUGGUGUAGCGGUGGAAUGCGCAGAUAUCAGGAGGAACACCGAUGGCGAAGGCAGUUCUCUGGGCCGUAACUGACGCUGAGGAGCGAAAGCGUGGGGAGCGAACAGG
rnacentral:rRNA from 1 species